GAUGAACGCUGGCGGCGUGCUUAACACAUGCAAGUCGAACGGAAAGGCUCCUGCUUGCAGGGGUACUCGAGUGGCGAACGGGUGAGUAACACGUGGGUGAUCUGCCCUGCACUUCGGGAUAAGCCUGGGAAACUGGGUCUAAUACCGGAUAGGACCAUCGUUUAGUGUCGGUGGUGGAAAGUUUUUUCGGUGUGGGAUGAGCUCGCGGCCUAUCAGCUUGUUGGUGGGGUAAUGGCCUACCAAGGCGUCGACGGGUAGCCGGCCUGAGAGGGUGUACGGCCACAUUGGGGCUGAGAUACGGCCCAGACUCCUACGGGAGGCAGCAGUGGGGAAUAUUGCACAAUGGGCGCAAGCCUGAUGCAGCGACGCCGCGUGGGGGAUGACGGCCUUCGGGUUGUAAACUCCUUUCGCCAGGGACGAAGCGAAAGUGACGGUACCUGGAUAAGAAGCACCGGCUAACUACGUG
rnacentral:rRNA from 1 species